AUGGCAGGAACACGAACUCUGCCCAGCGCCCCGACUACCCCGUGGGCGCCCUGGUCCGGCGCCGAGAUCCCUCAUGAGGGCCAUCUCCUUUCCCCCUGUUUCGCCGUUGCCCGCGACCUCCCGAGCGCCAUGGCCGAGAGCACGAGCUCUUGGUCCGCCCCGCGCCCCGACUACCUCAUGGGCGCCCGAUCCGGCGCCGCCUCUAUGCCCGCGGCCACGCUACCUCGCACUCAGGUCGCCGGCAGCCCAUUCCUACACUGCCACCGCCAGUGUUGUACUGCUGCCACUGGCGAGCUAGGCGGCCGACGGGAUGCCCUCUAG
rnacentral:rRNA from 1 species